UAAGGAAUAUUGGACAAUGGAGGCAACUCUGAUCCAGCCAUGCCGCGUGAAGGAUGAAGGCCCUAUGGGUCGUAAACUUCUUUUGUACGAGAGAAAACCAUUUCACGUGUGAGAUGUUGAUAGUAUCGUAAGAAUAAGGAUCGGCUAACUUCGUGCCAGCAGCCGCGGUAAGACGAAGGAUCCAAGCGUUAUCCGGAUUCAUUGGGUUUAAAGGGUGCGUAGGCGGAUUUGUAAGUCAGUGGUGAAAGCC
rnacentral:rRNA from 1 species